GUCUUCCUUUGGCUUCUUUGAUUUGGCUCAACCUCUGUAUCUAAUAGUUGUUCCGAGACUUUAUGUUAUUAGUUGACGUGUCGGCCUGUGUUGCGGCUACGAGUUAACAUAUGCAGCACAAAGGGAAAGAUGCCGAGCAUAGCUGAAUUUAGUUGGUAUUAUCUGUUUAAUCUUUGCUGCCCCAAUAGGCCCGAGUGAUUAGACAUAUAUAUACCAACUAAAUUCAGUUAUACAACUUGACAAGUAUUUUCCUGUCCGCAACUACACAACCAUUCAAGGCAUCUACUCAUCGGUGGAAACUACACAGCUGAACUUCGCUUUGUAUGUUACGCAAAAAAAAAAAUUCAGAGAAUAUUGGUAGUAAACAAUGGGUUAAUUCAAACGGAUAUACAAUAGCAAGCCAAGGGGUAUUCUGAGCAGUCCGGGUGUAGUUCUCCGAGUAGGUCGUCUGCAGUUCUCCAAGAAGUUCAGGAACAUCAAGCUUCUUCUCAGGAAUUUCGUAUUUAUUUGGAAUGGAUUUUUCUUCAUCAUCUCAUUUCUAAGAUAAAACUUCUGAGUUUCUUAUUAAGUCAAUGAUGUUUCUCUUUCCGAUGUCCACGGGAAAAUUAACGUGUCCAUCUUCUCGAAGGACAGCUAUCAGACUGAGGUAGUGCGUCGUUGCCAGGGCAUUGGAAAUGAUGCAAUUGGUAGGCAUGAAAAUAGUGAUGGCAGACUUAUAUAGUUUACACUCCGUUUGGUAAACUGUAUAACAAUUAUUUUUGGGAUUAAAUCUGAUCGUUUGUCUGUAUUGUGCAUGCACUUAAUUAGCAAAUUGGACUUACUUAUUUCCUAUUUCACAUAUCUAAUGUGCUCAAUGGUUGAAGCAGGUGAACUAACCCGAUUCCAAAAUGAUGUUUUUCAACCAAGGACUAAUUUGUGGAAGGCCUGGCAACAUAUGUUUUGCAUAGCCUUUGUUUUGGACGUUGUCUUACCGAGUUUGUACUCUGUUGUAUGAAGGUAAUCUGACAUCUUUGAUAAGCAAAUAUCUCUCAAUAUCUAAGGGGUUGCUUUUACAAGUAUGGUUGAUGGGUUUAGUUAACUUAGAUCCAUCAACAGAUGUUUUUUCUUUUGCAUCUUUUAGAUAUGGGAAACCUGUUUUUCCUUAAAAAAUUUGUCCUUAUCGCAAUUUCAUUGCAGAUUGUGAACCCAGGACCAUAUUUGCUAAAUGGAUUGCCAAGUGUUCAGAUCCAUUGGUUAAUAUAUAAGUUUUAAUUUUGAUUAAAGUCGUAACGAUUUUUUUUUUCCAUGAACAUUCUAUAAUAUAAUAAUCCAAGUGAAUGUGAUCGUUGUACCACACCUCCUUCAGUUUCCACGUGUUUCCACUUGCCAUCUUAGCUCAGCUGGAAGAGCGCAUCGGUUUGAACCAUGUGGUGGUGGGUUCAAUUCCUGCAGAUGGCGCAGGGUCUCUAAUGAUUACACAUGUUUAGAUAAUCUAACUUGGUUCUAUCUGCAGUACCCAAUCUUAUUACUCAUCACACUUUUACUGAAGUGGACUUCAAUGGAGAUUAACAGGUUCAUAGAUAGCUGUCUCUGAAGAUCAGUAGGUAUAAAUAUUGAUGGUGACUUCUCAGAAACCGUGGGGAGGGUAGUCAGGAACCUAUACUACCAACAGUUAAUUUGGACUCCCACCCGGUCUACGAUACUAUCCUCCUAUUUAGUGGUUAACUAAAUUUCUCCCUGUAAUGAUAUCCCUAUGUGACUUUACUAAUGCAGGAAUUGAACAUGUUACCGCAGGUGGGUUUGAAAUCUUCACCCAGAAUAGUCGCUACCACUUAUGAGAUUCUUGAUCGGUUUAUGGGUAGUGCAAAUCACAGAUUUAGUGAGAUAAAUGGCCACGGAAUACAUAAAAAUCACAGGUUUAUGGGUAGUGCGAAUCACAGAUUCAGUGAUAUAAAAUACAUAAAAAUCACAGGUUCAAGGAUAGUCAGCUCAUUGUAUGUAAAAAUCACAGGCUCAGUGAUCUCAACCGUCGUCAUGUUUAUAUGUUUACUGAUGUUUUUCAUCAUCAGUUAUGGUUAGAUUUGGUUCAAAUUCUCUUGGAACGGAUUGAUAUCUUGGACUUCUAUUUUAAAGAUGUUCAUGGGUUCUGUGUUU